rnacentral:tRNA from 1 species
GCCCGGCCGAGGCCCCGUGGUCGGCCCGCCCGUUCCAGGCGUGAGUCGUCCCGUUCCAGGCGUGAGCCGGACC